rnacentral:rRNA from 1 species
CCUACGGGAGGCAGCAGUGGGGAAUAUUGGGCAAUGGGCGCAAGCCUGACCCAGCAACGCCGCGUGAAGGAAGAAGGCUUUCGGGUUGUAAACUUCUUUUAUCAGGGACGAAGCAAGUGACGGUACCUGAUGAAUAAGCCACGGCUAACUACGUGCCAGCAGCCGCGGUAAUACGUAGGUGGCAAGCGUUAUCCGGAUUUACUGGGUGUAAAGGGGGUGUAGGCGGGAGUGCAAGUCAGAUGGGAAAACUAUGGGAUCAACCCAUAGCCUGCAUUUGAAACUGUACUUCUUGAGUGCUGGAGAGGCAAUCGGAAUGCCGUGUGUAGCGGUGAAAUGCAUAGAUAUCACACAGAACACCGAUUGCGAAGGCAUCUCACGAAUCCGCGAUUGACGCUGAUGCACGAAAGCGUGGGUAUCAAACAGGAUUAGAUACCCCUGUAGUC